AAGAAAAUGAUAAAUAUUAGCACCGUGCGAGAAAAAGAGCGGAAAAAAAAAAUCAGAUAGCUCAACCUGAUUGGCUAAAAGAAAGAAUCUCGCACAGACACAGGCAAAUGCGGAUGAACGUCGAUCCUCCAAAAUUCAAUCAUAGGAAUCGUGUUUUCUUCAGAACAGAGCGAGAAGAUGGAAAACAGUGAGGAACAGAAGUACGGAGUUCGGAAAUUAGAGAUCUCAGACAAGAGCAAAGGCUUCAUCAAGUUGCUGCAGCAACUCAGCGUUUGCGAUUCCGUCUCUGACACAGACUUCGAGAAUCGAUUUCGAGAGCUCAGUGCCGUUGGAGAUGAUCACGUUAUCGGCGUGAUUGAAGACGAGGCUUCUGGGAAGAUCAUUGCGACGGGGAGCGUGUUUAUUGAGAAGAAAUUUUUGAGAAAUUGCGGCAAAGUUGGGCACAUUGAGGACGUUGUUGUGGAUUCCAGUGCACGUGGGAAGCAUUUGGGAAAGAGUAUCAUCAGCUUCCUGACAGAGCAUGCGCGUUCCAUGGGAUGCUAUAAGGUCAUUCUUGAUUGCAGCCUCGACAAUAAGGCGUUCUACGAGAAAUGUGGCUUCCACCACAAAUCUAUUCAGAUGGCUAUGUAUUUUGCUCACAACUAGUUUGCUACUGUCUCGCCUUCGUUGAUGUUGGAGUCGACAAGCCCUGGGAGGCUAAUAAUGUUGGGAUCUCUGACGAUUUCGGGUUUUCUACGGCUUCGUAUUGGAUUAUACGUUCGUUUUAAACUAGUCAACUGUAGCCAACAUAAAACGGGGCUGAUCUUUAUGACUACCCUGGUAAGGGGUUAAGACUUGGUUAUUGUUGUUUUGUGAUGUAUUUCUUCUUGGACUAUUGGUUUUGUAGACUAUUGGUAAGGGGUUAAGUCUUGGUUUCAGUCAACUCGGUAUUUCUUCUUACUGGAAAACAUUGCAUGAUUGAUUACAUUAUUAUUAGUUGUAGAAUUAGAUUAUGAUGUAUGUUAUAUUCAGUUGGAUUAAGCUGGAUAUUGCUCUAAAGGUUUUCUAUUAAAAUUAGAGCUCUACUGGUAGAUUCAGAACUGAUAUAAUAGUGUAAAAAUUGGAAAGGUAUGGAAGCAUUAGGGGAAUGGUUUUGAUUUGACGGAUCCAUGAUUGUUUGUAGUUUUUACUAAUUACUGCUAUGUUUAGUUCUUGUUAAAUAAUUCUGAAUAUGUACAUGGUCCGUUGAAUUUUGUAUGUUUUUCUUGAUGUCACUUAUGUAACUACUGCCUAUUAGGCGUUGCCUAUGUUCCUUGUUUCCUAUAUUUGAUGCUAUUUUAUAUGUUGCUGUUGAAUUCAAUGUGUAUGAAUGCUACUCAAAUGCUAUUUGCAGAGUUUAAUAUCACUAUUGUAUCUGAGUCAUCAUAUUGUCUGGGAUGACAUAAUUUUGGACACUUCAUAGUUUGCUUGCUCCAAUCAGUAUCAAUCGUUUUCU